CACGUAGGGUGCGAGCGUUGUCCGGAAUUAUUGGGCGUAAAGAGCUCGUAGGCGGUCUGUCGCGUCGGAUGUGAAAACUCGGGGCUCAACCCCGAGCCUGCAUACGAUACGGGCAGACUUGAGUUCGGCAGGGGAGACUGGAAUUCCUGGUGUAGCGGUGAAAUGCGCAGAUAUCAGGAGGAACACCGGUGGCGAAGGCGGGUCUCUGGGCCGAUACUGACGCUGAGGAGCGAAAGCGUGGGGAGCGAACAGG
rnacentral:rRNA from 1 species